GUAAAGCUGUGAUAUCAGUCAGAUUAUUGCAUACAGGGCAUUCUUCACAGAGAGGGCCAGUGUGGAUUAUAGGAAAGAAAUGCUCUACUAACCAAUCAUGAAAUAGAGCAGUCCAAGACCUUAAGAGGCUGCAGUUUUUAUUGGAGGAGAUUAAUACGUUAAUAGGAAGUGAUUACAUAUACAGUAGAGGUAAUGCAGGGGACAUGUUAGCCACAUCUCCAUUGAAUGGCAG
rnacentral:lncRNA from 1 species